GACGAACGCUGGCGGCGUGCUUAACACAUGCAAGUCGAACGGAAAGGCCCCUUUGGGGGUACUCGAGUGGCGAACGGGUGAGUAACACGUGAGUAACCUGCCCUUGACUUCGGGAUAACUUCAGGAAACUGGGGCUAAUACCGGAUAGGAAUCCUUGCUGCAUGGUGGGGUUGGAAAGCUUCGGCGGUUUUGGAUGGACUCGCGGCUUAUCAGCUUGUUGGUGGGGUAGUGGCUUACCAAGGCUUUGACGGGUAGCCGGCCUAAGAGGGCGACCGGCCACAUUGGGACUGAGAUACGGCCCAGACUCCUACGGGAGGCAGCAGUGGGGAAUAUUGCACAAUGGGCGGAAGCCUGAUGCAGCAACGCCGCGUGCGGGAUGACGGCCUUCGGGUUGUAAACCGCUUUCAGCAGGGGCGAAGCUUGUGGUGACGGUACCUGCAGAAGAAGCACCGGCUAACUACGUG
rnacentral:rRNA from 1 species